GACUUCAGAUAAUACACAGGCAUGCUAAAUAACCACGAGAAAUUAUAUUUCCAAGUUGCAUUAAUUGUUGUUUGAAAGAUCUAUGACUUAUGAGAGCUAUAGAAGGAUCUGUUAGAUGCCACUCUUUUCCUUGCAGCUUUGUGAACCAAGGAAUCCAUAUACUCCCUCCGUCUCAAUUUAUGUGAUAUAGUUUAACUAGUCACAGAGUUUAAGAAAUAAAGAAAGACUUUUGAAUCUUGUGGUCUAAAAUUAGCCAAAGAUAUUUGUGUGAUUAUAUAUCAUCUCGUUAAACGUAAAAGGUAAAGUUUAAAGUUAAAUUGUUGUCAAAUAAGAAAAAUGUAUCAUUCUUUUUGGGAUAGACUAAAAAGUAAAGUGUAUCACAUAAAUUGGGACAGAGGGAAUAACAAUUUAAUUCUCGAAGGAAAUGUAAUAUGUGGAAAUAAAUACGGUAGGGAGGUGCGGGGGCAGAGGGAUGGUGAAGAGGUUGGUUAUUGGGUGCAGUCUUGGGCUAUUGAGAGAGUUGCCUUUAGAUGAAUUUGUGCUUCUACUUGACUGCUUACAGAUUUCAAUUCCUUGUUCGUUCUAUUCAAUUUUUUUACUUCACCAGAAUUCAGAGCUUAAUGACUAUAAAAUAGACAUAUUCUCUAUGAGUUUGAUAGUUUAAAAGCUUCAAAGCAACUAUAAAUAGGUUCUAAAUCCCCUGUUUCGGAGCCAGUUUGCUGCUUUAGUUUAUGGAUUUAUUUUACAAGAAAACUGACUACGGAAAAGAUUUCUGCCGACCUGAUAUGUUCCCAUCUUAAUGUGUGGCAACUUAUACGGUGUUUCUAAAGUACAAGUCAGAUGUAUGAGAAUCAUGUGGUUUGCUAAUUCAUAAAGAUAAGUGGGGAACUUUGUUUUUCCAGUGGCUGAAAUUCAUUUAACCUUAUGGUCUCACUUGAGAUUCAUGCCUUCUAUGUUUUUGUUUCUUCUGCUUUUGACAUUUAUUCAUUCUUUCUCCUUUUCGUAGCUAUGGCUGAAGUUUCUCCCUGUGCUGUGUGUAUAUCCACCGUUAGUAAUUCUACUGGUGUAGGUUGCUUAUCCGAGGCACAUAAUUUGUUUGUUUAAGACCUAGCCACUUAAAAAUUUGUGGGUCGUGCAAUGUUUUUAUGAUGAGGCUCUUUGAUUGAGAUGUACUACCCAUGCAAAAUUAAGAUGUACCUUAACAUUUCAGAGAGUCUUGAUUGUUUGUAUUGUGGAAAAAUCUUAAUAAGGUAGUUACUGAAGUAUUUAACAUCUAAGGUUUUCUUUUCCUCCCAAGAAACAGAUUAAUAUUGUGGCAGUCUUGGGAUAUUGAGAAAGUUGCCUUCAGACUAGAAUUUAUGCUUCUACUUAAUUGCUUGCAGAUUUCAAUUCCCUGUGCGUUCUUUUCAUUAUUUUUACUUCACCAGAAUAUUGAGCUUAAUGACUAUAAAUAGACGUAUUAUCUAUGAGUUUAUAGUUUUAAAAGCUUUUUAGCAACUUAAUAGGUUCUGUAUCACCUCUUUCGGAACAAGCUUGUUGCUUUAGUUGCUGGAUUUAUUGUACAAGAAAACUGACUACUAAAAAGAUAUCUGCUGACCUGAUUUGUUUUCAUGUUAAAUGUGUGACAACUUAUGCAUUGUUUCUAAAUUACAAUAGUCAGAUGCAUGAGGAUCAUGUGGUUAGCUAAUCUAUCCAUAUAUAUAUAUAUAUAUAUAUAUAUAUAUAUAUAUAUAUAUAUGUGUGUGGACAAAGGCAUGCUGAUGUGGCAUCACAGAAACGCAAGGCUAGUAUUUAUCUUUUAUAGAUUUUUGAGGGAAAAAAACAAAUAAACACGCUUAAAAACUAAAUUACGGCAAACACACAUGCCGCUUCGCCCUUUGCACCCCCAACAACUGCGGCCAGAAAAAAAAAAAAAAAAAACCCUUCUAUAGAUCCCAGUUAUGCUUCUUCUCCAUUCUCACCCACUAUGUAGCACUUCUGCCUGUGUUCUUUUUAACUUACAGGGUAACCGGUUUUAUCCGUCCACAGAUUCUCUUUACAAAAUUGAAUUCAGACCAUUUAGGAGUAAGGGUCGAAAUGAGGUUCCUCAUCUCUUGCCAAUUAAAUUAUGAUUGUAUUCAUGUUUGUAAUUCCACUGUCAUGCGAUUUCAACUUUAGGUACAUUGUGCAGAUUUACAAUUGCUAUUUCAAUUAAUAAAGUUCAUCGCCGUCUAUGAACUAACUUCGUUCAGACUUGUAAUCUCCCCCGUGAUAGGUCUGUACUUUAGAGUUUAUUAGGCAUUUUUUUCCCUCUUAUGUAGUUCGAAAGUAAAUAGCCUGUUAUACAGAUCUCCAUUUCCUACUCGUAAUAUUUGCUCUUGCUGUUUUCCGACUACAUCUAUGACUCUAAUAUAUAUAAAUAGUGAACUUUUGGUAUGCUCCGAAUUUUGGCAACUAUUCGGACUGAAGUCUGAACUUCUCACUUUCCACCUCUGACCAUUUUUUUUCCUCUUUUGCACCUACACCCAUGCAGAAGAAGCAAAUCUGUAGCUGUACACUCCAGUCCCAUUGUCAUCAUCUGCUCUGCGAUAAAUUUGAGUAUAGGUUUUCCCCAACAAUUCUAUAUGUGUUCUUUUAAAUAAUAUUUUUGUGGUGGAAAAGAUGUGCCGUUUCUUGAUUAAUUGUGUUAAACAAUCAGCCAAUUUCCCUAUGACUCCAAAGAAGACGAAUUAGAAUUUCAAAAAACACAAAGAAGAAGCAAAUCCGUAGGAGCACACUCCACGGCCAUAGUCCUUUAUUUACUUCGUUACCGGGUGAGUACUCUGUCUCUUACUUACAUUGAAAAGUUGGAAUUUAUUCCCAACACAUGAAUAAUUUCUUUCAAUUAAUUAUACUUUCUUUUCUUAAUCAAUAUGUGUAAGUUUUCCCAAUAUAUUUUGGACUCCAGCUGUGCGAGUUGCGGAUGUAAAAUACUUGAAAGCCAUUUAUGCAUGACAACUCAGAUUACAAUGUGUUACAUGCAACACAUUUAUAAUAACUGCAGUUAUAGCUGUAGACAAAUCAAAUUGAUUGGACUUAAUCCACUAGAAAUUUAUUGUAAUACGGGAUGGAGGAGAGUCUUCUAAUAUCCUUUAACCUUUCCGUUUUCAGUUUCAAUUCAUGGAGUUUCCAGUUAUGUGACAGAGAAGAAGCGCACGACCAGUCUGUAUCUCAGUAUUUAAGUGAUGUUUACUUACAAUUUCUCUCUGCAUUAACUGUUUUAGUCUCCAUAUAUAUCAAACACCCGUUAACUUGAAAUUUAUUCGGCAGUUCAGGGUAUUUGGUGUUGCCGAAAACUGAAAUUAUAAGGAUAAGAGUCACUCCAAGUCAAUUAUUAUGUCAUCACUUGCCUUCAAUGUCAUUCUUUGCUUAUAUGCUUUACUUGUGGCAUAAAUAGUUUGGAUUGGACUUUUUCCAUUAUCUCAAUUUACCAUGAAUGCUAGCAUUGCAGGAAUAAAGUUCACCUAGAUAAGGUAUGACCACCCGAGAUUUUCAUUCCAGAUGGUCAAGCUAAUUAGUGCAAGGAUAGUUCAUUGUCAGUUCUAUGUAGACAUACAAAUCUCAGCAACUGGUUCAAUUUUUCUCAAGAUAAGCAAAAGGCUGCAAGGUAUUGGUAAUUGCCUUUUUGGCGAGUAUAGACUGGUUAGUCUUGUGUUGAUGGGAGAAUUUAGUAAGGUUGGAGUUGGGAUGUGUCACCUUUCACAGAAAGAUAUACAAGACAAGGAGCAGGAUGAGCUAAUUGCUCCGGAACAAUAAUUCCAUUCUGCAAGGGAAGGGAUUAUAACCAGGCUGUACAUCAGGAUAACUGGUUGGAUUUGUUUACAGUUAAGUGAAUUCUUCCGCUGUUGUAAGUGGAAUAACCGAAACCGAAAUAGUGUCGAAUAAGUUGUGAAGUAGGUGCUAUAACAUAUUGAUGUUUUGUUUGUAGCGUAGAUGGUAAUUGUUUGGGCCAGUAAGUGGUCUUGGUAUGAGGAAGCAUUUGAUAUGAUGCGUAAUUUUGUAGUUUGAGAAUUAUUUCAGAUAUUACUACCUAUUAUUUCAAUUAUACAUACAGCUGCCCUCUACUAAAGAGUUCAA